CAGCAGCAGCAGCAGCAGCAGCAGCAGCAGCAGCAGCAGCGCGGGCGGCGGCAAAGGAUGCCUGUGCACAAGUGGCCCUGAGCCAGGGACUUUACCCCUCAUCUCUGCCUUUCUCCAGCAGCGUCAGGACAGGCGCUUCUGCUUCUGCACCUGCAGCAGGAAGGGUCCCCCGGGGUUGUCUUGUUUGCAGAAACCAGGAGCCAGAGCCUCGACCCAUCUUGAAAUUGGAACUUGGCAAAACGCUCCACAAAUCCAUGAAGGAAAUUGAAGGCAGUUUGAAUAGCAGCUUGAAUGGCAACUCUACCAAGAAACUGUGAUACCUCUGAAGGCCAACAGAGGGUGUGGUUGGGUGGACCCUAAAAUUAGGGCUUGAUGAAGAUCAAACAUAUGCCAGUAUUCAAGUCUGGAUUUUCUCUUCUGCAUUUCAGAUAUUGAGAAGUAAAGGUAACAAUUUUGGAGGAGGAGAAGGUAUGGUGGGGGAAAUAUCAGGA